CAGCAGCCGCGGUAAUACGUAGGUGGCAAGCGUUGUCCGGAAUUAUUGGGCGUAAAGGGCUCGCAGGCGGUUUCUUAAGUCUGAUGUGAAAGCCCCCGGCUCAACCGGGGAGGGUCAUUGGAAACUGGGAAACUUGAGUGCAGAAGAGGAGAGUGGAAUUCCACGUGUAGCGGUGAAAUGCGUAGAGAUGUGGAGGAACACCAGUGGCGAAGGCGACUCUCUGGUCUGUAACUGACGCUGAGGAGCGAAAGCGUGGGGAGCGAACAGGAUUAGAUACCCCGGUAGUCCCUGUCUCUUAUAC
rnacentral:rRNA from 1 species